UUUCGAUUAACGUGUUCCUAUUUUUCAUGGUUUUGGGUUAUAGAUAGAUUUCAUAUUUUAAAUUCAAAUCCCCCUUAUUUUGCUUUCAAUUCGCGCUAAUGGAGCUAUAUAUGUGAUCGGUGUUAUCUACUGCAUACGGCUUCUCUCAAUUGUGAUUAUCGGCUUAAAUUUCAGAUGUUAUCGGCGAAGUUUUACAGUGUUUUGAAGUGGAGUACCAUAUGAUAAACGGCAUCCGAACAAAAAAUGAACGUGGAAGUCAAAGAUCUAGAGUGAGACAUUGAUGAUUCAAUUGAGAGCCGAUAUAUUCUCGUAAAAACUCAAACAGGAAGCAUUGGAUAAAGAUGGUAAAGUUACCAACAAAACAACAAGUGUUAUAUACAAAGAAGUCUUUCGAGAUUUGUGAGUUAUAGGUAUAUACUUUUACAUUUCAAUCUUAUUGGUUUUUUAAUAGAAGUUUUUAUUUAUGCCAA